GUGAGGAAUAUUGGUCAAUGGACGGAAGUCUGAACCAGCCAAGUAGCGUGCAGGAUGACGGCCCUAUGGGUUGUAAACUGCUUUUAUGCGGGGGUAAAGUGAGUGACGUGUCAUUCAUUGCAAGUACCGCAAGAAUAAGGACCGGCUAAUUCCGUGCCAGCAGCCGCGGUAAUACGGAAGGUCCUGGUGUUAUCCGGAUUUAUUGGGUUUAAAGGGAGCGUAGGCCGUCAGGCAAGCGUGUUGUGAAAUGUCGUGGCUCAACCAUGGACUUGCAGCGCGAACUGCCCGACUUGAGUGCGCGGAAAGCAGGCGGAAUUUGUGGUGUAGCGGUGAAAUGCUUAGAUAUCACGAAGAACCCCGAUUGCGAAGGCAGCCUGCUGUAGCGCUACUGACGCUGAAGCUCGAAAGUGCGGGUAUCGAACAGGAUUAGAUACCCCAGUAGUCC
rnacentral:rRNA from 1 species